UGUUACUUUCGCAACAAAUACUUUUCCUUACAAUGCUACAUCUCUAUUCUGCAACAUCGGCUUACUUUCGUCAAUAUGUACACUGUGCAGCCGUUCUGGGGCAAUGGAACUUCUUCUCCGGGCACCUUCCAUACGAUCCAUGGUUGCUCUACUUUACGGUAAAGCAGACUCCUCUGUGUGGACUUGAGUGCACCCAACUGAUUACCCGUGAGACUGGCCCUGUCUCUUGAUCACAAACGUCACGCGCAGGGGUUGGGAGAGCGCAGUCGACGGCCAGUGUGUCCGUGCGUGUCGUCUCGUCAAUCUUGCUGUAGUAGGUCAACACAAUUGGGGAUCAGGAGAAGAGCUUGGUUCCGCACACAUGCUGACGUGCCGUGACGUCGCGGAAGCUGAGGUUUGUCUUGCUUCCGAUCACUCGAAGCAGCAAGACGGGAAUGCGACGACGACGACGUGAAAAUGGCCACGAGUUUCAUCUGCCAAAGCAUGGUUGUUUGGUUGCUACAGUCGGGUAUCGCGAUCACAGCAUCGAAAGUGUCAUUCCCCUUGAUGAUGCGGAUACCCGACGCCGACAGUAAGCAAUCACAGUAGCACCGGUGCAUCACGUCGCAAAGAGAUAUCCCGUGAUCCCAGCAGGAUAGCGCUAUGUGCUCCGUUGUAUGUGAGAACGGCAAACGGAAA